AUUUCCGUAGGUGAACCUGCGGGAGGGUCAUUAGUGAAUCUAGGGCGUCCAACUUAACUUGGGGUCCGAACUCUCACUUUCUAACCCUGUGCAUCUGUUUUAAAAUUGGCUAGUAGCUCUUCGGGGCGAACCACCAUUUUUCACUUAUACAAACACAAAGUCUAUGAAUGUAAACAAAUUUAUAACAAAACAAAACUUUCAACAACGGGUCUCUUGGCUCUCGCAUCGAUGAAGAACGCAGCGAAAUGCGAUACGUAAUGUGAAUUGCAGAAUUCAGUGAAUCAUCGAAUCUUUGAACGCACCUUGCGCUCCUUGGUAUUCCGAGGGGCAUGCCUGUUUGAGUGUCAUGAAAUCUUCAACCCACCUCUUUCUUAGUGAAUCUGGUGGUGCUUGGUUUCUGAGCGCUGCUCUGCUUCGGCUUAGCUCGUUCGUAAUGCAUUAGCAUCCGCAACCGAAACUUCGGGUUGACUUGGCGUAAUAGACUAUUCGCUGAGGGUUCCAGACUUGUUCUGGGGCCGAGUUGGGUUAAAGGGAGCUUCUAAUCCUAAAGUCUAUUUUUUGAUUAGAUCUCAAAUCAGGUAGGGCUACCCGCUGAACUUAAGCAUAUCAAUAAGCGGGGGGAAU
rnacentral:rRNA from 1 species